rnacentral:rRNA from 1 species
CCUACGGGUGGCAGCAGUGAGGAAUAUUGGUCAAUGGACGAGAGUCUGAACCAGCCAAGUAGCGUGAAGGAUGACUGCCCUAUGGGUUGUAAACUUCUUUUAUAAAGGAAUAAAACGAGGCACGUGUGCCUUUUUGCAUGUACUUUAUGAAUAAGGAUCGGCUAACUCCGUGCCAGCAGCCGCGGUAAUACGGAGGAUCCGAGCGUUAUCCGGAUUUAUUGGGUUUAAAGGGUGCGUAGGCGGACAGUCAAGUCAGCGGUAAAAAUGCGGUGCUCAACGCCGUACAGCCGUUGAAACUGGCAGUCUUGAGUGGGCGAGAAGUAUGCGGAAUGCGUGGUGUAGCGGUGAAAUGCAUAGAUAUCACGCAGAACUCCGAUUGCGAAGGCAGCAUACCGGCGCCCGACUGACGCUGAGGCACGAAAGCGUGGGUAUCGAACAGGAUUAGAUACCCUUGUAGUC